CGCGUAGGCGGUUAUGCUAGUCAGGUGUGAAAUCCCCAGGCUUAACUUGGGAACUGCGCUUGAAACUGCAUAGCUUGAGGCCGGGAGAGGAAAGUGGAAUUCCUGGUGUAGCGGUGAAAUGCGUAGAUAUCAGGAGGAACACCGGUGGCGAAGGCGGCUUUCUGGACCGGUUCUGACGCUGAAGCGCGAAAGCGUGGGAGCAAACG
rnacentral:rRNA from 1 species